rnacentral:misc_RNA from 1 species
GGAGAAGAUAAAUCAAGAUCAUCGGCACAGAAUUUGGACCAUAGCAAAUCAUCGGAGCUCCAAUUCCUAAACCUUUUGCUAACACAAGCCACAGAUGCAGCAUCUUGAGGCGUCAAUUUUGAUAAGAUUAUAUGCAUCGACAGCCCACCUAACCUUUCUACAUCCAUCUUUUCUCUUCCUCCGCCGUCUACCGCCGGCCGCCGGAGAUAAUAGAAACGCCAAAGUGAGUUAAGAUGAAAGAGAAGAGAGGAACUGGUUUAUUU